GACAGAGGGUGCAAACGUUGUUCGGAAUGACUGGGCGUAAAGCGCGUGUAGGCGGCUCGGCAAGUCGGAUGUGAAAGCCCUGGGCUCAACCCAGGAAGUGCACUCGAAACUGCCGAGCUGGAGUCCCGGAGAGGAAGGCGGAAUUCUCGGUGUAGAGGUGAAAUUCGUAGAUAUCGAGAGGAACACCGGUGGCGAAGGCGGCCUACUGGACGGCGACUGGACGCUGAGACGGCGAAA
rnacentral:rRNA from 1 species